GUCAGCGUGAUAUAAUGGUUUGAGUGUUGGACUGCAACUCUUUAGACCAGGGUUCAAAUCCCUGUUUGGUCA